CCUACGGGUGGCUGCAGUCGCGAAUCAUUCACAAUGGGCGCAAGCCUGAUGAUGCCACGCCGCGUGCGGGAUGAAGGCCCUUUGGGUUGUAAACCGCUGUCAAGGGAGGGGAACCGUACGGUGCGAACAGUGCCGUGCCUGACUGCUCUCUAAAGGAAGCCCCGGCAAAACAUGUGCCAGCAGCCGCGGUAAUACAUGUGGGGCAAGCGUUGUUCGGAAUUACUGGGCAUAAAGGGUGCGUAGGCGGCUUGUUGAGUCACUGGUGAAAGUUUUCG
rnacentral:rRNA from 1 species